rnacentral:tRNA from 1 species
GCGGAUAUGGCGGAACUGGCAGACGCGCACGGUUCAGGUCCGUGUGAGGAAACUCAUGGAGGUUCGAGUCCUCUUAUCCGCACCA